rnacentral:snRNA from 1 species
AUACUUACCUGGCAGGGGAGAUACCAUGAUCACGUAGGUGGUUUUCCCAGGGCAAGGCUCACCCAUUGCACUUGGGGUGUGUUGACCCCUGUGAUUUCCCCAAAUGCGGGAAACUCGACUGCAUAAUUUUUGUUAGUGGGGGACUGCGUUCGCGCUCUCCCCUG